rnacentral:rRNA from 1 species
AGAGUUUGAUCCUGGCUCAGGAUGAACGCUGGCGGCGUGCCUAAUACAUGCAAGUCGAACGAAGGUAGCAAUACCUUAGUGGCGAACGGGUGAGUAACACGUAGGUAACCUGCCUUUCAGUUGGGGAUAACCGAGGGAAACUUUGGCUAAUACCGAAUUCGUGCUUCGAAGGCAUCUUCGGAGCAUAAAAGGGGCUUCAAAGCCUCGCUGAUUGAUGGACCUGCGGCGCAUUAGUUAGUUGGUGAGAUAACAGCCCACCAAGACGAGGAUGCGUAGCCGACCUGAGAGGGUGAUCGGCCACACUGGAACUGAGACACGGUCCAGACUCCUACGGGAGGCAGCAGUAGGGAGUUUUCGGCAAUGGGGGAAACCCUGACCGAGCAACGCCGCGUGAGUGAUGAAGGUCUUCGGAUUGUAAAGCUCUGUUAUAAGGGAAGAACGGCAGUUAGAGGAAAUGCUAGCUGUUUGACGGUACUUUAUGAGAAAGCCACGGCUAACUACGUGCCAGCAGCCGCGGUAAUACGUAGGUGGCAAGCGUUAUCCGGAAUUAUUGGGCGUAAAGAGUGAGCAGGCGGCAGUUUAAGUUUGGAGUCAAAGCGAGGGGCUCAACCCCUUAACGCUCUGAAAACUGAACAGCUAGAGUGCGAGAGAGGUAAGUGGAAUUCCAUGUGUAGCGGUGAAAUGCGUAGAUAUAUGGAGGAACACCAGUGGCGAAGGCGACUUACUAGCUCGAUACUGACGCUCAGUCACGAAAGCGUGGGUAGCAAAUAGGAUUAGAUACCCUAGUAGUCCACGCUGUAAACGAUGAGAACUAAGUAUUGCCGUGAGGCAGUGCUGAAGCUAACGCAUUAAGUUCUCCGCCUGGGGAGUACGGUCGCAAGACUGAAACUCAAAUGAAUUGACGG